GGAGGGUAUAGCUCAGUGGUAGAGCACAUGCUUAGCAUGCACGAGGCCCUGGGUUCAAUCCCCAGUACCUCCA
rnacentral:tRNA from 1 species